rnacentral:lncRNA from 1 species
AGGAUCUAGCAGUAGCACGUAGCAGUAGCAUGUAGUAUCCGAGCGGGCAGUUCGGACGCAGCAUGGGACUCCUGAGGUUCAAACCUUAUUCAGGAUGAAUUUUAAAGUCCAGGAGCAAAAGUACCAAGAUGAAAGCACGCAGAGCUCAUCCCCAACUGUGGAUGGUCUCCGGUGGCGCAGUGUAGUAGACAUCUCACACCCUAAUGUGAGCCAUGUGUUCUGGUUGAAGACCGGCUCCUGGUUCGAAACCCGCUCAAGCCCAGGGGUGUGUGGUUACCCCCCCCCCCGGUGUUUCCAGAGAGAUAAAAUAGGGGGGUUAUGCUACAGGAAGUCAGAGCAGGCUGAACUUUAGAGUAAGGGUGGGAAGAAGGGUUGCGGGGGGGGAUUAUAGGGGGGGCGCGGCGGCCGAUGACCGGGGGCCUGAGCAGAGGGCGUAACCACAAUAAGGAUUGAAGCCACUGACUCAUGUGGACACACGAGACAAUCAUGUUUUUUUUACAUAUAUCACUGUACUUUGUAGACUCUAGACCUUCAAAAUAGAAGUGGGCAAGGUAGGACUUGAACCUAUGACCUCAGGAGUCCCAGUCAGUCUUCUUAUCCCCUGAGCCACUUGGAGACACAGGAUUAUACCACUUCUUUCCUCUUUCACUUUCCUGUCUAGACACUAGACUUCAAAAUUCACCUUGUCCCAAAAAAGGCUCAAACACACCACCUCAGGAGUACCAGUCAGUCUCCUUAUCCCGUGAGCCAUGUGGACACACAAGACAAUUAUGUUUUUUUUCAUAUAUCACUGUACUUUUUAGACUCUAGACCUUCAAAAUUCACCAAGAAGUGGGCAAGGUUGGACUCGAACCUGUGACCUCAGGAGUUCCAGUCAGUGUUCUUAUCCCCUGAGCCACUUGGACACACAGGAUUAUACCAUUUGUUUCCUCUUUCACUUUACUGUCUAGACACUAGACUUCAAAAUUCACCUUGUCCCAAAAAAGGCUCGAACACACCACCUCAGGAGUACCAGCCAGUCUCCUUAUCCCGUGAGCCAUGUUGGCACACAAGACAAUCAGGUUUUUUUUCACAUAUCGCUGUCCUUUGUGGACUCAAGACUUUAAAAUUCACCAAAAACUAGGUAACGUAGGACUCGAACCUAUGACCUCAAGAGUUCCAGUCAGUGUACUUAUCAUCUGAGCCACUUGGACAUACAGGAUUAUACCACUUGUUUCCUCUUUCACUUUCUUGUCUAGACACUAGACUUCAAAAUUCACCUUGUCCCAAAAAAGGUUGGAACACUCCACCUCAGGAGUACCAGUCAGUCUCCUUAUCCCGUGAGCCAUGUGGACACACAAGAGAAAUGUGUUUUUUUUUUCACAUAUCGCUGUACUUUUUAGUCUCUAGACCUUCAAAAUUCACCAAGAAGUGGGCAAGGUUGGACUCGAACCUGUGACCUCACGAGUUCCAGUCAGUGUUCUCAUCCCCUGAGCCACUUGGACACACAUGAUUAUACCAUUUGUUUCCUCUUUCAAUUUCAUGUCUAGACACUAGACUUCAAAAUUCACCUUGUCCCAAAAAAGGCUCGAACACACCACCUCAGGAGUACCAGUCAGUCUCCUUAUCCCGUGAGCCAUGUGGACACACAAGAGAAAUGUGUUUUUUUUCAUAUAUCACUGUACUUUAUAGACUCUAGACCUUCAAAAUUCACCAAGAAGUGGGCAAGGUUGGACUCGAACCUGUGACCUCAGGAGUUCCAGUCAGUGUUCUUAUCCCCUGAGCCACUUGGAGACACAGGAGUAUACCACUUGUUUCCUCUUUCACUUUACUGUCUUGACACUAGACUUCAAAAUUCACCUUGUCCCAAAAAAGGCUGGAACACACCACCUCAGGAGUACCAGUCAGUCUCCUUAUCCCGUGACUCAUGUGGACACACAAGAGAAAUGUGUUUUUUUUUCAUAUAUCACUGUACUUUGUAGACUCUAGACCUUCAAAAUAGAAGUGGGCAAGGUAGGACUUGAACCUAUGACCUUAGGAGUCCCAGUCAGUCUUCUUAUCCCCUGAGCCACUUGGAGACACAGGAUUAUACCACUUGUUUCCUCUUUCACUUUCCUGUCUAGACACUAGACUUCAAAAUUCACCUUGUCCCAAAAAAGGUUCGAACACUCCACCUCAGGAGUACCAGUCAGUCUCCUUAUCCCGUGAGCCAUGUGGACACACAAGACAAUUAUGUUUUUUUUCAUAUAUCACUGUACUUUUUAGACUCUAGACCUUCAAAAUUCACCAAGAAGUGGGUAAGGUUGGACUCGAACAUAUGACCUCAGGAAUCCCAGUCAGUGUUCUUAUACUCUGAGCCACUUGGAGACACAGGAUUAUACCACUUGUUUCCUCUUUCACUCUUCUGUCUAGACACUAGACUUCAAAAUUCAACUUGUCCCGAAAAAGGCUCGAACACACCACCUCAUAGUAGGGUCUGUUAACUUGAAAAAAUGGCCAAAUUUUUAUGCGGUGGAUAAAAGCACCAAAUUUGGUACACACAUUCUUCAGGGUGUAUCUCAUCAUCUCAGAAGAGUUGCCCAAAAAUGCAUGAGUGAAAAUGGCUCAAAUGGAGGUCGUAUACCUGACCCAGUACAAAAGUCUCUCGUUGAUUUAUUUAGCAGGAAAAAGGGAGUCGAUCUCUGCUGCUCUGAAACCACAUCUGAGUCCAAAAACAAAGACAAAGAAUAACUUCAUACUGCAAAACCAAGUGUGAUGCCUGUCAGGAAACCUUAUAAAUCACAGCAUGAAGAUGGCGGGGGGUUUUAGUGUCGGACAUCCUGAAUUGGCUCGUACCCAGUCUGCCAUGAAAUUGGUUGAAUAUUCAGAGAUUUCCACCACCAGGAAGUCCUCCGAAGGUCUCCAAAUGUCCCCGCCCUCAGGCUUACGUCACGACUGACUAGAAAAAACAAGAGUACCCAGAUGCAGCGCCAAGAUGGCGGACCCAAAGAUAAAAAACCACAUUUACAAAACGCAAUAAGUUUCCGCAUUACCUCCGAUUGGCGGACCCAAAACAUGAACUUUGAACUUCUGCUUUGCGAUGCCAGAACAGUAGGUGGCGGUAUGUACCUACACUUUCUGACGGCAAAAUUUACAGAAGAAGAAGAACUCUCAGGAAGUUUGAAAAGAAGCAAGCCGUCCGCAUUCAUUCAAUCUCACCUCCGACCACUCAAACUAACCC